GGGUUGUGAGGUUAAGCGACUAAGCGUACACGGUGGAUGCCCUGGCAGUCAGAGGCGAUGAAGGACGUGCUAAUCUGCGAAAAGCGUCGGUAAGGUGAUAUGAACCGUUAUAACCGGCGAUGUCCGAAUGGGGAAACCCAGUGCAAUUCGUUGCACUAUCGUUAACUGAAUACAUAGGUUAACGAGGCGAACCGGGGGAACUGAAACAUCUAAGUACCCCGAGGAAAAGAAAUCAACCGAGAUUCCCCCAGUAGCGGCGAGCGAACGGGGAGCAGCCCAGAGUCUGAAUCAGCUUGUGUGUUAGUGGAACGGUCUGGAAAGUCCGACGGUACAGGGUGAUAGUCCCGUACACCAAAAUGCACAGGCUGUGAACUCGAAGAGUAGGGCGGGACACGUGGUAUCCUGUCUGAAUAUGGGGGGACCAUCCUCCAAGGCUAAAUACUCCUGACUGACCGAUAGUGAACCAGUACCGUGAGGGAAAGGCGAAAAGAACCCCGGCGAGGGGAGUGAAAAAGAACCUGAAACCGUGUACGUACAAGCAGUGGGAGCACCUUCGGGUGUGACUGCGUACCUUUUGUAUAAUGGGUCAGCGACUUAUAUUCUGUAGCAAGGUUAACCGUAUAGGGGAGCCGCAGGGAAACCGAGUCUUAACUGGGCGUUAAGUUGCAGGGUAUAGACCCGAAACCCGGUGAUCUAGCCAUGGGCAGGUUGAAGGUUGGGUAACACUAACUGGAGGACCGAACCGACUAAUGUUGAAAAAUUAGCGGAUGACUUGUGGCUGGGGGUGAAAGGCCAAUCAAACCGGGAGAUAGCUGGUUCUCCCCGAAAGCUAUUUAGGUAGCGCCUCGUGAAUUCAUCUUCGGGGGUAGAGCACUGUUUCGGCUAGGGGGUCAUCCCGACUUACCAACCCGAUGCAAACUACGAAUACCGAAGAAUGUUAUCACGGGAGACACACGGCGGGUGCUAACGUCCGUCGUGAAGAGGGAAACAACCCAGACCGCCAGCUAAGGUCCCAAAGUCAUGGUUAAGUGGGAAACGAUGUGGGAAGGCACAGACAGCCAGGAUGUUGGCUUAGAAGCAGCCAUCAUUUAAAGAAAGCGUAAUAGCUCACUGGUCGAGUCGGCCUGCGCGGAAGAUGUAACGGGGCUAAACCAUGCACCGAAGCUGCGGCAGCGACACUAUGUGUUGUUGGGUAGGGGAGCGUUCUGUAAGCCUGCGAAGGUGUGCUGUGAGGGUUGCUGGAGGUAUCAGAAGUGCGAAUGCUGACAUAAGUAACGAUAAAGCGGGUGAAAAGCCCGCUCGCCGGAAGACCAAGGGUUCCUGUCCAACGUUAAUCGGGGCAGGGUGAGUCGACCCCUAAGGCGAGGCCGAAAGGCGUAGUCGAUGGGAAACAGGUUAAUAUUCCUGUACUUGGUGUUACUGCGAAGGGGGGACGGAGAAGGCUAUGUUAGCCGGGCGACGGUUGUCCCGGUUUAAGCAUGUAGGCUGGUUGUCCAGGCAAAUCCGGAUAAUCAAGGCUGAGGUGUGAUGACGAGGCACUACGGUGCUGAAGUAACAAAUGCCCUGCUUCCAGGAAAAGCCUCUAAGCAUCAGGUAACAUCAAAUCGUACCCCAAACCGACACAGGUGGUCAGGUAGAGAAUACCAAGGCGCUUGAGAGAACUCGGGUGAAGGAACUAGGCAAAAUGGUGCCGUAACUUCGGGAGAAGGCACGCUGGUGUGUAGGUGAAGCCCCUGCGGGUGGAGCUGAGACCAGUCGAAGAUACCAGCUGGCUGCAACUGUUUAUUAAAAACACAGCACUGUGCAAACACGAAAGUGGACGUAUACGGUGUGACGCCUGCCCGGUGCCGGAAGGUUAAUUGAUGGGGUUAUCCGUAAGGAGAAGCUCUUGAUCGAAGCCCCGGUAAACGGCGGCCGUAACUAUAACGGUCCUAAGGUAGCGAAAUUCCUUGUCGGGUAAGUUCCGACCUGCACGAAUGGCGUAAUGAUGGCCAGGCUGUCUCCACCCGAGACUCAGUGAAAUUGAACUCGCUGUGAAGAUGCAGUGUACCCGCGGCAAGACGGAAAGACCCCGUGAACCUUUACUAUAGCUUGACACUGAACAUUGAGCCUUGAUGUGUAGGAUAGGUGGGAGGCUUUGAAGCGUGGACGCCAGUCUGCGUGGAGCCAACCUUGAAAUACCACCCUUUAAUGUUUGAUGUUCUAACGUUGGCCCCUUACCGGGGUUGCGGACAGUGUCUGGUGGGUAGUUUGACUGGGGCGGUCUCCUCCCAAAGCGUAACGGAGGAGCACGAAGGUUAGCUAAUCCUGGUCGGACAUCAGGAGGUUAGUGCAAUGGCAUAAGCUAGCUUGACUGCGAGCGUGACGGCGCGAGCAGGUGCGAAAGCAGGUCAUAGUGAUCCGGUGGUUCUGAAUGGAAGGGCCAUCGCUCAACGGAUAAAAGGUACUCCGGGGAUAACAGGCUGAUACCGCCCAAGAGUUCAUAUCGACGGCGGUGUUUGGCACCUCGAUGUCGGCUCAUCACAUCCUGGGGCUGAAGUAGGUCCCAAGGGUAUGGCUGUUCGCCAUUUAAAGUGGUACGCGAGCUGGGUUUAGAACGUCGUGAGACAGUUCGGUCCCUAUCUGCCGUGGGCGCUGGAGAAUUGAGGGGGGCUGCUCCUAGUACGAGAGGACCGGAGUGGACGCAUCACUGGUGUUCGGGUUGUCAUGCCAAUGGCACUGCCCGGUAGCUAAAUGCGGAAGAGAUAAGUGCUGAAAGCAUCUAAGCACGAAACUUGCCCCGAGAUGAGUUCUCCCUGAGACUUUAAGUCUCCUGAAGGAACGUUGAAGACGACGACGUUGAUAGGCCGGGUGUGUAAGCGCAGCGAUGCGUUGAGCUAACCGGUACUAAUGAACCGUGAGGCUUAACCUUACAACGCCGAAG
rnacentral:rRNA from 1 species